UGAAUGGCCUUGAAGGUGGAGAGAAAGAACGAGGAGACCUGCAGGAGAAUGCACCAAGCAGAAAAGCAGCUGAUCCAGCUGGAGAAAAGCAGAUGUGACAUGACAUAACAUUGAUUUCUGGAUUAGAAAAAUCCUACCUAGAGAGUUUCCUGAACAACAGGUCCAUUUCUUCAGUCUACUUUGGAAAUGAAGCCUUUGGAACAUCCUUUGGAACAAAACAUAUUUCAGCAAUGAACAUUGGUCAAGGGGAGCAGAACAUAAUUCAGGUCCAAAGGUCUGGUGAAGUGAUCUUCCACAACACUUUUCCUCAAGAAGGGGAAGAGGGAGAUGUCUCUUCAGGCCUUUCCUUUGCCCUGUUUUCUCACUAUCUGAUUUUCUUUGUAAUAAUGGAGGAAUCAUAGAAUCAUUAAGGUUGGAUAAGACCUUCAAGAUCAUCUUGCUUUUAGUUGCAGUGGCCAAAUAGCCUUCCAUUUAUUAAAAGCUUAUAAUUUCACUUUGCAGAGAGCACCUCCAUUUGUGAGAUAGCCUUUCACACAUACUGUAUCGAUUGUGGUAUCUGUACCAAGUGAAGCAUUGUUGUUAAACUUCUUUUUUUUCCCUAAACCUUUU